UCUAUCUUCUGAACCUUUUGGA
rnacentral:miRNA from 10 species